CCUACGGGAGGCAGCAGUAAGGAAUAUUGGUCAAUGGACGCAAGUCUGAACCAGCCAUGCCGCGUGGAGGAUGAAGGUCCUCUGGAUUGUAAACUUCUUUUAUUUGGGAAGAAAUCUAUCUUUUCUUGGAUAGUUGACGGUACCAGAUGAAUAAGCACCGGCUAACUCCGUGCCAGCAGCCGCGGUAAU
rnacentral:rRNA from 1 species